rnacentral:rRNA from 1 species
AGACCCGAAACCCGGUGAUCUAGCCAUGGGCAGGUUGAAGGUUGGGUAACACUAACUGGAGGACCGAACCGACUAAUGUUGAAAAAUUAGCGGAUGACCUGUGGCUGGGGGUGAAAGGCCAAUCAAACCGGGAGAUAGCUGGUUCUCCCCGAAAGCUAUUUAGGUAGCGCCUCGUGAAUUCAUCUCCGGGGGUAGAGCACUGUUUCGGCUAGGGGGCCAUCCCGGCUUACCAACCCGAUGCAAACUGCGAAUACCGGAGAAUGUUAUCACGGGAGACACACGGCGGGUGCUAACGUCCGUCGUGAAGAGGGAAACAACCCAGACCGCCAGCUAAGGUCCCAAAGUCAUGGUUAAGUGGGAAACGAUGUGGGAAGGCCCAGACAGCCAGGAUGUUGGCUUAGAAGCAGCCAUCAUUUAAAGAAAGCGUAAUAGCUCACUGGUCGAGUCGGCCUGCGCGGAAGAUGUAACGGGGCUAAACCAUGCACCGAAGCUGCGGCAGCGAACGUAUCACUUAAAGCGAUUCAGCGGGUUACGAUUGAUGGAGCGAAGCGACGUCAAAGCGUAUACAAAGUCGAGUCGGUUUAAGGAUACGUUCGUUGGGUAGGGGAGCGUUCUGUAAGCCUGUGAAGGUGUGUCGUGAGGCAUGCUGGAGGUAUCAGAAGUGCGAAUGCUGACAUAAGUAACGAUAAAGCGGGUGAAA